rnacentral:rRNA from 1 species
UACGAAGGGGGCGAGCGUUGUUCGGAUUUACUGGGCGUAAAGGGCGCGCAGGCGGCUUUGUUUGUCAGGCGUGAAAGCCCCGGGCUUAACCUGGGAAUGGCGAUGGAGACUGCAAGGCUAGAGUUUGGCGGAGGGGGGUAGAAUUCCACGUGUAGCAGUGAAAUGCGUAGAGAUGUGGAGGAACACCGAUGGCGAAGGCAGCCCCCUGGGUCAAAACUGACGCUCAUGCACGAAAGCGUGGGGAGCAAACAGG